rnacentral:misc_RNA from 1 species
GAUGAAGAACGUAGUGAAAUGCGAUAAGUAAUGUGAAUUGCAGAAUUCAGUGAAUCAUCGAAUCUUUGAACGCACCUUGCACCCUUUGGACUGCUCCAAAGGGUAUGCUCGUUUGAGUGUCAUUGUACUCUCACACUCUCUGAUCCUUUGGAUUUGGGGAGCAGUGGACUUGGGUGCUUGCUGCUUCCUUGUGGCUCACCUGAAAUGCAUCAGUGCAUCUCUCGAUUGGACAUAGUACGGCGUGAUAAGUGUCUUCGCCGGCACCUCAUAUGAGGGUGGCCGAUCGGGAGCUCUGUGCUUUCAAACCGUCUUCGGACAACGCUGACAACUUGACCUCAAAUCGAGUAGGUCUACCCGCUGAACUUAAGCAUAUCAAUAAGCGGAGGA